UACGGAGGAUGCGAGCGUUACCCGGAUUUAUUGGGUUUAAAGGGUGCGUAGGCGGAAUAUCAAGUCAGCGGUAAAAAUUCGGGGCUCAACCCCGUCGUGCCGUUGAAACUGAUGUUCUUGAGUGGGCGAGAAGUAUGCGGAAUGCGUGGUGUAGCGGUGAAAUGCAUAGAUAUCACGCAGAACUCCGAUUGCGAAGGCAGCAUACCGGCGCCCAACUGACGCUGAAGCACGAAAGCGUGGGUAUCGAACAGG
rnacentral:rRNA from 1 species